CCUACGGGGGGCAGCAGUGGGGGAUAUUGCACAAUGGGGGAAACCCUGAUGCAGCGACGCCGCGUGUGGGAUGACGGUCCUCUGGAUUGUAAACCCCUGUCCCCAGGGACGAAGAUGACGGUACCUGGGGAGGAAGCUCCGGCUAACUAGGUGCCCGCAGCCGCGGUAAUCCGCGGGGAGCGAGCGUUGUCCGGACUUACUGGGUGAAAAGGGAGCGUAGGCGGGACUGCAAGUUGGGUGUCAAAUCUACCGGCUCAACCGGUAGCCGCACUCGAAACUGCCGUUCUUGAGUGUAGUAGAGGCAGGCGGAAUUCCUAGUGUAGCGGUGAAAUGCGUAGAUAUUAGGAGGAACACCAGUGGCGAAGGCGGCCUUCUGGGCUUUUACUGACGCUGAGGCUCGAAAGUGUGGGGAGCAAACAGGAUUAGAUACCCGUGUAGUC
rnacentral:rRNA from 1 species